rnacentral:rRNA from 1 species
UACGUAGGGUCCGAGCGUUGUCCGGAAUUACUGGGCGUAAAGGGCUCGUAGGUGGCCAACUAAGUCAGACGUGAAAUCCCUCAGCUUAACUGGGGAACUGCGUCUGAUACUGGAUGGCUUGAGAUUGGGAGAGGGAUGCGGAAUUCCAGGUGUAGCGGUGAAAUGCGUAGAUAUCUGGAGGAACACCGGUGGCGAAGGCGGCAUCCUGGACCAACACUGACACUGAGGAGCGAAAGCCAGGGGAGCAAACGGG